rnacentral:lncRNA from 9 species
GGAUAAUCUGGGGCUCCAGAGUUAUAGCUUUCUUGCUAUUUAAGUCUCUUUAUUCUGUUAGCUUCUAAAGCUCAUUUUCCAUCUUUUAAACUCAUCUUUAAAAAAGUGAACUCACAAUGAUAUAAUAUAUUAGUCAAGCAUCCUCUCAGGCAUUAAGUACAUAAAUGUAAACUCUAAUGGAAACUCAAGCAUUAGAAAAUCUAUAUUCAGCAUAUAAAGCUUUGUCCAUGGUGAAACAUUUACCCAUUCUCAAUUUAUGCUGUAAUCAGCAAAAGACUAGGGCCCAAACACAGUGAACAAGUCUCCAAGCUAUAUUUUUCCAUUUUUAAUAUUACUAUUCAUGCACAUUUAUUUAAAAACAGAACAUUUUCUUUUAACCACCAUUAUUGGUUUUCAAUUCCAGAUGUUUGAUGUCCUGCUGAUUUUAUCACCUGAUUGUCUCAGCCGGUUUCUGGUGUUGGGAAAGAGCAGACAAACUAUCAUUGAUUUAUCUAUCUACUGUGUGGACUAGACCAUUAUGGAAAUGAAAUCUUCUCAUGGAUUAAAAUAAGCUUGUAUCCUGGAUACCUGAGAAAGUUUUACUUAAAAUGUGCCUGUUUGCCAUUUGCACAGUCUGGUUUAACCCUGUUAUCACUAUUUUUUCAAGGAAAAAUGGUAAGACUUAAGGAUAAUUCUAUAGAGCUCUUAUAUAUCUUUGAAGUAAUGCUGCUUUAUGACUUCACAGAAAUUGAUAUCUGAGAAUCCAUUAUCUCUCCAUGAUCCAUAUUACCUUUCUAUUUUUCUUUGGGAGCUUGGAUAAUUUUAGAAAGAUCAUGGCUUUAAAGGGCAGGCAGAGCUAGUAUUGAAUCUUUCUAACAACAUAUGCAAGCUGUGUGACAUUUAGCAAUUUACUUAACCCUUCUGAGUUGCCAUUUCCUCCUCUAUGAAAUAUGGAUAGCAUGCCUAUCUCUAAGAUU